rnacentral:rRNA from 1 species
AAGGGCACCACAAGAACGCGUGGAGCAUGUGGCUUAAUUUGACUCAACGCGGGGAAACUUAUCAGGUCCGAACACGCUGAGGAUUGACAGGUUCUUAUAAGAUAUAUUUAGUGUGUACUUGUAUACGCUUUAUAUAAUUUCUUAUAUUAAAUAUGCUAGUCCUUUCAUGAUUGCGUGAUAGGUGGUGCAUGGCCGUUCUUAGUUCGUGGAGUGAUCUGUCUGCUUAAUUGCGUUUCACAAAAAAUGAGUAUAUAUUAGUCACUUUGUUUGCACACAGAGUUCUAGCUGGGAAUUUUACUUCGGUAACUUUCUUUUAGCACCUCUGUUGUGCACAGUGUCUUUUUACAUAUACUCUGAAGGCAACGAACGUGACCG